rnacentral:rRNA from 1 species
UACGAAGGGGGCGAAGCGUUGUUCGGAAUUACUGGGCGUAAAGGGCGCGUAGGCGGCUUAUCAAGUCAGGCGUGAAAUUCCCGGGCUCAACCUGGGGGCGUGCGCUUGAUACUGAUGAGCUUGAAUGCGGGAGAGGAUAGUGGAAUUCCCAGUGUAGAGGUGAAAUUCGUAGAUAUUGGGAAGAACACCAGUGGCGAAGGCGGCUAUCUGG